AAGCUCGUUGUCCACGUGAUAUCACAUGAUAUAAGAGAUGCAUUAGGCAGAAGAGAGAAAUAUGGAUGAUCUCAUAGAGUACUGUGAGUGUAAACCCCCAUAUUGGAGAAACAUCAUUGAGUGCAGCGUUGAUGAAGUCCUAAAUAGUAAAUAGCAACUACCCCUCGUGUUUCUCAGGUAGAUGCUUAAAUGGUUUUAUUGACGCUGCACUCAAUCAUGUUUUUUUGCAAUAUGUGAUAUGCCGAUCAUGGAUUCAUGCUCCUUGGUGAAAGCAUGUAUGGAUGGGACUCGAGAAAUAAAAAGUUCAAAGCUAGCUGCAACUCAUGAUUUUGUUGAAUAUAUAUGUCAUGAUCCAUCAUUGGAACAAGAAAUACACAGAUAUUUGGGUCCUUGGUAGCCACAGAAGUUCUUCCUCGGAUACUUGAAUUUAGCCCCUCAAGAAAAAUAAAUGCAAACGAGUUUUUCUUUUUUGUACUAUCUUGCUCGCUCUCUUGGAAUUUUGUAUGCAUGCAUAAUUUCAACUUGUUCGGAAUUAUGUUUGCCUACUUCUUCUCUAGUUAAAAUUUCUCAAAUUGAGAAUCAUAACCAAAUUAGCAAGUAGUAUA